AUUGAACGCUGGCGGCAGGCCUAACACAUGCAAGUCGAACGGUAACAGGAAGAUGCUUGCUUCUUUGCUGACGAGUGGCGGCCGGGUGAGUAAUGUCUGGGAAACUGCCUGAUGGAGGGGGAUAACUACUGGAAACGGUAGCUAAUACCGCAUAACGUCGCAAGACCAAAGGGGGGGACCUUCGGGCCUCUUGCCAUCGGAUGUGCCCAGAUGGGAUUAGCUAGUAGGUGGGGUAACGGCUCACCUAGGCGACGAUCCCUAGCUGGUCUGAGAGGAUGACCAGCCACACUGGAACUGAGACACGGUCCAGACUCCUACGGGAGGCAGCAGUGGGGAAUAUUGCACAAUGGGCGCAAGCCUGAUGCAGCCAUGCCGCGUGUAUGAAGAAGGCCUUCGGGUUGUAAAGUACUUUCAGCGGGGAGGAAGGGAGUAAAGUUAAUACCUUUACUCAUUGACGUUACCCGCAGAAGAAGCACCGGCUAACUCCGUG
rnacentral:rRNA from 1 species